rnacentral:tRNA from 1 species
CUCGCGAGUAAACGAAGAAUUGUAGAAAGAAAGAAUUUCAUGCUUGUUUACAAAACAAAUGUGCCUUUUUUUCGCCAGCCUAAAGAGGCUGUGCCGGGCUGUGCACUUCACUUCAGCCCUUCACAUCAAGGUGACAGGAUUCGAACCUAUGGCCCUCUGUACCCAAAACAGAUGCGCUGACCAGACUGCGCUACACCUCGUAUCACCCCCCCCGGAGCAUAUAGAUCCACCCGAUCGAUGAACACUUGAACCGAACCCGCCCAUUUAGGCACAGGGACGCGAGAACCAAUCCGAGUAAUCAACCGCUUUUUUUAGAAAAUCUGCCUCCAGCAAGAUAUGGCGACGCCAAAAAGCCGUAUAGUGCAGGAGCGCUCAUAUUUUUUUUUUUGGCUUCCUCUUUCACUUGA